AGUAGUUUGACUCCGUGGCUACAGGACGACGCUGGCGGCGCGCUUAAUACAUGCAAGUCGAACGAGAAGCCAGAGCUUGCUCUGGUGGAAAGUGGCGAACGGGUGAGUAACACGUGAGAAACCUGCCCCAAAGAUUGGGAUAAGCCUUGGAAACGAGGUCUAAUACCAAAUACCUUCUUUUUAACACAUGUUAAAAAGAAGAAAUGCUCCGGCGCUUUGGGAUGGUCUCGCGAUCUAUCAGCUUGUUGGUGAGGUAACGGCUCACCAAGGCAUCGACGGAUAGCUGGUCUGAGAGGAUGUCCAGCCACAUUGGAACUGAGACACGGUCCAAACUCCUACGGGAGGCAGCAGUAGGGAAUCUUGCACAAUGAGGGAAACCUUGAUGCAGCGACGCCGCGUGCGGGACGAAGGCCCUAGGGUUGUAAACCGCUUUCAGUAGGGACGAAGGUGACGGUACCUACAGAAGAAGCCCCGGCCAACUAUGUG
rnacentral:rRNA from 1 species